rnacentral:rRNA from 1 species
GACGAACGCUGGCGGCGUGCUUAACACAUGCAAGUCGAACGAUGACCCUCGAAAUGUUUUCUUCGGAAUGAUUUUUGAGAGAAUUAGUGGCGAACGGGUGAGUAACGCGUGAGCAACCUGCCUUAGACAAGGGGAUAGCCUCGGGAAACCGUGAUUAAUACCCUAUGAGACUCCACUUACGAGUGUAAGAGAAGUUAAAGCUAUUGCGGUCUAAGAUGGGCUCGCGUCUGAUUAGCUAGUUGGUGAGAUAAAAGCCCACUAAGGCGACGAUCAGUAACCGGCAUGAGAGAGUGGACGGUCACAUUGGAACUGAGACACAGUCCAGACUCCUGCGGGAGGCAGCAGUGGGGAAUAUUGCACAAUGGGGGCAACCCUGAUGGAGCGACGCUGCGUGAGCGAUGAAGGAAGUCGUGUAGUAAAGCUCUGUACUUGGAGAAGAUAAUGACGGUAACCAAGGAGGAAGCACCGGCUAAAUACGUG